AUUGAACGCUGGCGGCAUGCUUUACACAUGCAAGUCGAACGGUAACAGCACUUCGGUGGCUGACGAGUGGCGAACGGGUGAGUAAUACAUCGGAACGUGCCUAGUAGUGGGGGAUAACUACUCGAAAGAGUAGCUAAUACCGCAUGAGAUCUAAGGAUGAAAGCAGGGGACCUUCGGGCCUUGCGCUACUAGAGCGGCUGAUGGCAGAUUAGGUAGUUGGUGGGAUAAAAGCUUACCAAGCCGACGAUCUGUAGCUGGUCUGAGAGGACGAGCAGCCACACGGGGACUGAGACAGAGCCCAGACACCUGCGGGAGGAAGCAGUGGGGAAUUUUGGACAAUGGGCGAGAGCCUGAUACAGCAAUGCCGCGUGCAGGAUGAUGGCCUUCGGGUUGUAAACUGCUUUUGUACGGAACGAAAAACACUCUUCUAAUACAGGAGGGUCAUGACGGUACCGGAAGAAUAAGCACCGGCUAACUACGUG
rnacentral:rRNA from 1 species